rnacentral:rRNA from 1 species
UCCAGACUCCUACGGGAGGCAGCAGUGGGGAAUUUUGCGCAAUGGGGGAAACCCUGACGCAGCAACGCCGCGUGCGGGACGAAGGCCCUCGGGUUGUAAACCGCUUUCAGCAGGGAAGACUUUACGACGGUACCUGCAGAAGAAGCUCCGGCUAACUACGUGCCAGCAGCCGCGGUAAUACGUAGGGGGCGAGCGUUAUCCGGAUUCAUUGGGCGUAAAGCGCGCGUAGGCGGCCGCCUAAGCGGGACCUCUAACCCCGGGGCUCAACCCCGGGCCGGGUCCCGGACUGGGCGGCUCGAGUGCGGUAGAGGAGAGCGGAAUUCCCGGUGUAGCGGUGGAAUGCGCAGAUAUCGGGAGGAACACCGGCGGCGAAGGCGGCCUGCUGGACCGUGACUGACGUUGAGGCUCGAGAGCGUGGGGAGCAAACAGGAUUAGAUACCCUCGUAU